AAAAGUCUCUAUCGAGGUUAAAGGUACCCGUACCGCAAACCGACACAGGUGGGUGAGGAGAGUAUCCUAAGGCCAGCGAGAGAACUGUUGUUAAGGAACUCGGCAAAAUGACCCCGUAACUUAGGGAUAAGGGGUGCCACCAUCAGGUGGCCGCAGAGAAUAGGCCCAAGCGACUGUUUACCAAAAACAUAGGUUUCUGCUAAGUCGCAAGACGAUGUAUAGGAGCUGACGCCUGCCCGGUGCUGGAAGGUUAAGGGGAUCUGUGAGAGCAAUCGAAGCAGUGAACUUAAGCCCCAGUUAACGGCGGCCGUAACUAUAACGGUCCUAAGGUAGCGAAAUUCCUGGUCGGGUAAGUUCCGACCCGCACGAAAGGCGUAACGAGUUGGGCACUGUCUCAACAACAGACUCGGUGAAAUUGUAAUUCCGGUGAAGAUGCCGGAUACCUGCGACAGGACGGAAAGACCCCAUGGAGCUUUACUGUAGCUUGACAUUGGGUCUUGGUACUACAUGUACAGGAUAGGUGGGAGGCUUUGAAACCAGGACGCCAGUUUUGGCGGAGCCAUCCUUGGGAUACCACCCUUGUAGUACUGGGACUCUAACCAUAGGCCAUGAAUCUGGUCUUGGGACACUGUCAGGUGGGCAG
rnacentral:rRNA from 1 species